AUUGAACGCUGGCGGCAUGCCUUACACAUGCAAGUCGAACGGCAGCACGGGGCAACCUGGUGGCGAGUGGCGAACGGGUGAGUAAUGCAUCGGAACGUACCUUUCAGUGGGGGAUAACGUAGCGAAAGUUACGCUAAUACCGCAUAUUCUGUGAGCAGGAAAGCAGGGGAUCGCAAGACCUUGCGCUGAUUGAGCGGCCGAUGUCAGAUUAGCUAGUUGGUGAGGUAAAGGCUCACCAAGGCGACGAUCUGUAGCGGGUCUGAGAGGAUGAUCCGCCACACUGGAACUGAGACACGGUCCAGACUCCUACGGGAGGCAGCAGUGGGGAAUUUUGGACAAUGGGGGCAACCCUGAUCCAGCCAUGCCGCGUGAGUGAAGAAGGCCUUCGGGUUGUAAAGCUCUUUCGGCCGGAAAAAAAUCGCAUGGGUUAAUACCCUGUGUGGAUGAUGGUACCGGAAUAAGAAGCACCGGCUAACUACGUGCCAGCCGCCGCCGUAAGAC
rnacentral:rRNA from 1 species